AACGAACGCUGGCGGCAGGCCUAACACAUGCAAGUCGAGCGCACCUUCGGGUGAGCGGCGGACGGGUUAGUAACGCGUGGGAACGUGCCCAGAUCUAAGGAAUAGCCACUGGAAACGGUGAGUAAUACCUUAUACGCCCUUCGGGGAAAGAUUUAUCGGAUUUGGAUCGGCCCGCGUUAGAUUAGGUAGUUGGUGGGGUAACGGCCUACCAAGCCUACGAUCUAUAGCUGGUUUUAGAGGAUGAUCAGCAACACUGGGACUGAGACACGGCCCAGACUCCUACGGGAGGCAGCAGUGGGGAAUCUUGGACAAUGGGCGCAAGCCUGAUCCAGCCAUGCCGCGUGAGCGAUGAAGGCCUUAGGGUCGUAAAGCUCUUUCGCCAGGGAUGAUAAUGACAGUACCUGGU
rnacentral:rRNA from 1 species